UACGUAGGGGGCGAGCGUUGUCCGGAAUCAUUGGGCGUAAAGCGCGCGCAGGCGGUCCUUUAAGUCUGAUGUGAAAGCCCACGGCUCAACUGUGGAGGGUCAUUGGAAACUGGGGGACUUGAGUGCAGAAGAGGAAAGCGGAAUUCCUCGUGUAGCGGUGAAAUGCGUAGAGAUGUGGAGGAACACCAGUGGCGAAGGCGGCUUUCUGGUCUGUAACUGACGCUGAGGCGCGAAAGCGUGGGGAGCAAACAGG
rnacentral:rRNA from 1 species